rnacentral:tRNA from 1 species
AAAAAAAUAGAAUUUAAAUUUUCUAAAUUUAAAUUUUUGUAAAUAUAAAAAUUUUUUUU